ACAGGGGAUUGCCUCAGUAACGGCGAGUGAAGCGGCAACAGCUCAAAUUUGAAAUCUGGUCCUUUCAGGGCCCGAGUUGUAAUUUGUAGAAGAUGCUUCGGGCGUGGCUCCGGUCUAAGUUCCCUGGAACGGGACGUCAUAGAGGGUGAGAAUCCCGUAUGUGACUGGCUGCCUCCGCCCAUGUGAAGCUCUUUCGACGAGUCGAGUUGUUUGGGAAUGCAGCUCAAAAUGGGUGGUAAAUUUCAUCUAAAGCUAAAUAUUGGCCAGAGACCGAUAGCGCACAAGUAGAGUGAUCGAAAGAUGAAAAGCACUUUGGAAAGAGAGUUAAACAGUACGUGAAAUUGUUGAAAGGGAAGCGCUUGCAAUCAGACUUGCGCGCGGUCGAUCAUCCGGGGUUCUCCCCGGUGCACUCGGCCGCGCUCAGGCCAGCAUCGGUUUCGGUGGUGGGAUAAAGGCCUUGGGAAUGUGGCUCCUCUCGGGGAGUGUUAUAGCCCUCGGUGCAAUGCCGCCUACCGGGACCGAGGACCGCGCUUCGGCUAGGAUGCUGGCGUAAUGGUUGCAAGCGACCCGUCUUGAAACACGGACCAAGGAGUUGAAGACUGCCGCGAGUGUUUGGGUGUCAAACCCAUACGCGUAAUGAAAGUGAACGGAGGUGAGAACCCUUAAGGGUGCAUCAUCGACCGAUCCUGAAGUCUUCGGAUGGAUUUGAGUAAGAGCGGUAUUCUUCUGACCCGAAAGAUGGUGAACUAUGCCUGAAUAGGGUGAAGCCAGAGGAAACUCUGGUGGAGGCUCGCAGCGGUUCUGACGUGCAAAUCGAUCGUCAAAUUUGGGUAUAGGGGCGAAAGACUAAUCGAACCAUUGAUCACUAGGUGGUUAAGAGGCCUCGCGAGAGCGCGGCCUAGUCCCGGGCCGGGGGCAACAUUAUCAAAUUGACGGGGACGUCCUGCUUUAAAUUCCACGCUACCGCAGCCGGUCCCGAAAGGGCGGCGCGCACCCGGGUAACGACCGCGGGGAUGGUUA
rnacentral:rRNA from 1 species